rnacentral:rRNA from 1 species
CUACGGGCCGCAGCAGCAGUCGCGGAACUUUUACAAUGCACGCAAGUGUGAUAAAGCGAACCAAAGUGCUUAUCAUUUAGAUAAGCUUUUUCUCUACGUAAAAACUAGGGAGAAUAAGGACUGGGAAAGACUGGUGCCAGCCGCCGCGGUAAUACCAGCAGAUUCAAGUUGCAUCCAUUUUUAUUGGGUCUAAAACAUCCGUAGCUUGCCGUUUAAGUCUCUUGUGAAAUUCCACGUCUCAAGCGUGGCAAAGUGCAGGAGAUACUGAACGGCUAGAGAUCGGUAGACGUAAGCAGUACGGGACGGGUAACGGUCAAAUGUGUUAAUCCGUCUUGGACUAACAAUCAGCGAAGGCAGCUUACGAGGACGAAUCUGACAGUGAGGGAUGAAGGCCAGGGGCGCAAAACGGAUUAGAUACCCUGGUAGUC